GGUAACCAAGGUUGACUGAUAAUGGGACAUUUUUGGAAGGAGGGGCAGAUGGAUAGGUGACUAAAACUGACGAACUGAGUAUUCCAUUCCAUAAUCAUCAUACUCCCUAUAUAAGAGGGUGAUCACAAGGGUGUAGCUCCCUUCGACCAUGGCUGGCAUUUAAGAGGACCCUCUCUGCAUGCCUGCGAUCUAUAGGCCUCAGGACCUGAACCCCUGAACUCCAGUUUCCAGUUUGCUGUGAAGUUCCUCCAUGACUUCUGGGUAUCUGCCCUGCAGCUGCUGGAGCCUCCAGCUUCGCUGACCCAGCUCUGCCGCCACUGGAGUGAUGCCAACUUCAUAUUGGGCAUUCAAGAUUGGGUUUACCAUUUCUAGGUCUGGGCCAUCAGUGAGUAUCUCUCCCUGGCUUUACUGGCUAUUCAUAGGAAACCACUGGGGGGAUACAUUGACAGGGGCUUCUAUGAAGUUACUAUCUCAGUAUUACUAGUCUGUUAUGUGAUAAAAGGCUAAUUGCAUUAAACAAAGACCUGACCAGGGUCAGAAAGACAAUAACAGGUGAAGGAACCCCAGUGAUCUGCCCAGUGAACUGAGGAUACCAAGUCUGCAGCUUUUUGGACAGUCCAAGGACAAUGACCAGCCCAUGGGAAUAAACUUUAUUUCUAUUGCCUGCACAAAGGGAUAGGGAGCUGGCAGCAGCCUCCUUUCCACCAGACUGGGGCAGGAGAACUUGCCUGGGUCCUGAAGAUGUCUGGAGAGAACAACCUCCAGAAGUUUGCCAUACAAUAAUUCAUUUUAUUCUGAGGUUGUGUCCACUGUUCCUUAAGAAACUCUCUAAGUAACUAGCUGUCAUCCUGUGUUCAUAUUUUUUGCACUGCUAUGCUUUUCAUACUGUUGAACUAUUAUGUCAGCUAAAGUAUUUUUCACAUCUGCCAAAUACUGUGUUUUAUUUUUUUCUCCUAUGUGUAAAAAACUAUGUGUUGUGUCAUUACCUCUCUGCCCAUCCCCACCCCCAAUUCCCUGUCCCCCCCUUUUUUUUUUUCCUCAUGUGAAAUCAAGCUUUACAUUCUGAAUACUGGAUUAUUUCCUGCUUCAUGUACAUUCACUCAUGCAUUUUGUGGAUUUACUUUUUCAUGCACAGGGAAAAAUCCAUCAGAGUAGUGUCAGUUGCAUCCUAGAAAAUGCCUGUGCAGCAGUCUCUGCUACCCAAUUAAAAGCAUUAAAAAAAAAAUAAAUUCCAUAGAUUAUCAAGGUAUUGCUUAUGCCUAUGCUACUAAGAUUAGUCUUCUCUGUAGGUAAACCGGUUGGGUCUCUGGUACAUAGCAGCUGGCUCUAGCUGCUCUUCAGGUUUAUGGUAGUAUUCCUGACACCUUACAACGUACCUGAUAUAUAUACUUUAUUUCAAUCCAAAAUGGUGGGGUUUGUGUGUGCAGCAUUUUUUUUUGUUUGUUUUGGGAGUUUGUUUGUUUGGUUUUGGUUUUUGUUUUUGGUUUUCCAUUAUUGUUGGUUUGGUUUGGUUUUGGUUUUGCUUGUUUGUUUUUGGUUUGUGUUUGGGUUUUUUUGUGUUUUUGGUGGUGGUGGUGGUGGUGUUUUUUUCUUGUCGUUGUUGUUUUUUUAAUAGUUUUCUGAUCAUCUUUGCCUUACUUUAUUUUUCCACUCUGGUUAACUGCUUCACUCAUUUUAUUCCUGCUAUCGUCUGUUACAUGGGAAAUGGAGAUGAAGACUGCAGCAGACCUAGGUUUUUUUAUAACUAGUGGAGGAGCAGGGAGUACUUCUGAGCUCUUGGGGAACAAGCUAACACUCAAAUGGAAGUGACCUUAAAAAAAUCUCUAGCUAAGAUCUAUCUUACUCAUCUUUCUAUAUAGGCUUUUACAUAGGCGCUUCCUGUAGUCAAUGGAUAAAAUUAAAUGCUUAACUUUUUGUAAGAUAAAUACCUAAAAUAUGUAAGAGACUUUGUAUCUAAAAAUACCCAUAUCCGCCAUCAACUAUGAAGUCAACUAUCAAGUUUUCACUUGACUGUCAUAUAUGCAGGCAUCUGUACUUAAGAAGUCUGAGGUUAAAAUACAAGCCCUCUCACUACCUGAAUCCAAACUGAUUUGGACUGUGCAACUUGAGCUUCUAGGUGGCACAAAUGUUUUCAAUUUGCUUAUGCCAAAGCCUGUUAGAGUACAAUUCUUCACUUCCAUUAUCCACUUUUUGUUUGGUAUAGAAUGUGAUGAGUGUGCAACUAAUAUUCUAUUAUGUAUGCUAAGGAAUCUUCAGAGGCUCCACUCUAAGAGCUGUCCAUCCCCCUUAAAAUAUGCUAAUAUAAACUAUUCAUAUUUUACGUCAUAAAGACCAGCAAUUCUUAAACAAUAUAUUACAAGUAGUUCAACAUCUCCUUGUUGUCCAAAGCAAUUCAUUUGGUGUUGUAUUGAUCCACUCAAACAAGUGAUUCCAAAAAGUCUUCAUAAAUUUUAUGUUCUCUCCUUUGCACUGUCACCUAAGAAAUAUUACAGCUACUGUUCAUGGCACAGGCUACAGAAGAUUAGUUCAGCUUGUGUGAUAAAUAGAUAAUCAGUCAUAAAUCCUCUGAAAGACAACUAGCAAAUAUCUGGAAAUGACAAAAAGGCUUGUUUAGACUCCAAGUUAGAGCUGAUCUUCACAGAUCAGAUCUUCACAGUAAAGACAACACCACUUUUCAGCUGAGCAGGCUUACAUAUUCCUUCCCAGAUUUUUCAUAUUUUCAAUUUUUUGGAGUCCUUCCUGGGCAUCACAGUACCAUGUAAUCUCUCUUUUACCAAACAGUUGCUAUAACAUUUCAGUUACAGAAGUGUCACAGAGGUAUAUCAAAACUAACCCAAACAAAGAAAAAGCUCAAACACACUUUGUUUCAUGACAAAACUGAAACGAAUGACAGAAACCAAUUAGAAAUGUGGGUGAUCCAGAGUCAAACAAGACUUCAAUAACAUUUAAUACCCCACAAGUUUGGUAAACCAGUCAGGGAUGUUAUUACUACAAGAUAACUCACAAGAAUGAUGAUCUGAAGUGUGCCUGUACUCAAUUGCAAAGGGAAACUGUCACUCAAGGGUACCCAGAAGACAGAAUUGCUCACCUGGGGAGACAGGGGAGGGACAAGGACUCACUCAAGGAUAUAUCCAGAAGAUAUAAUUUCUCACUGAGGGGGUGGGGAGAGGUGAGGAAGUUCAGUCCAGGGAAGUUUCCUUGGACGGCAUGCCAGUUACAAGGGGAGAGUUUCUGAUCAUAGUCCCUCUGCUCUUAGGAAAACCUCUCAAAGGGCAUCUCCAGUGGGGACCAUUGAUAACUGGGUCAGAUCUAAGUUGUGGUUGUAUAUGAGCAUGGUCCAGAAGCUUCUCUGGGGCUGAGGCUCCUUAUUGGCUGAGGACCCUCUUUAUUGACCAGGAGAGCCCACCUCUCCUGCUCCCUUAACUGAGGCUUGUACAUGACUGAAGUCACUGUGCCCUGGGGGUUACAUGAAGUCUGGUGCCCAACCAGUUUGCUUACGUGAUGGCAGCCAUAGUGGGGUGCAGGAAACACAAAAAUAAGGGUGCAAAAGAACCAGCAGCUGCCAUAUUGAAAGACUUGGACCUUUUUGGUGUAGGUGCAUCUACCACAAGUAGAUAUGAAAAAAUCCUGUUAUUACUAAUUAUUAUUAAUCCUGUUAUUACUAAUAAUUAUUAAAUUAUUACUGUGUAAUAAUUUAAACUAAAAAAAAAAAAAAUAAAAAGUCCUUGCAUUGUAAAUGUUGCAUAAAUAUUAAAAUUAGAACUCUCACUCAAUUUCAGGCACUUUAAGUGAAACCUGACUUUUAAUCAUAUGAAAUAUCAAAUUCUCACUCCAUUACCUUUGACUUAGAUCAGUCUCGCUUUAUACCUAAAUGGUUUAAAAGUUCACUUCAUUGGUAACUAAAGAUUAAAUUUUUUAAAAGCCAGUGGCUCAGUGCAGGCUGUACACAUGUAAAGAACAGACUUCAACAGAAAAGAAGCUGGGAUUUCGAGGGAAAUAUGCAAAAAGCUUCAAAGUAAGAAUACUGGAAUAUUAUUAGUGUUCAAUUAAGUGAAUAUUAUUUAGUUUAAGCUGCCUCAAUUCACCAAGCUAUUCUUGGGGUAGUAGAAAUAAUAAUAUAUGUGGUAAAACCACAUAAAAAUUAUUGAUUUAUAAUGUCCUAAAAUACAUUAUUAUUAGGAAAAAUCUAGAAUGUAGGAAUGUAGAACAACUGUUGCUUGCUGCCCUCAGUCUGGUUCAUGCUGAGUAGGAAUUACUCCAGAUGUAGUCUGAUUGUAAUCCAUUUGAAUUACUCCAAGUUAUAACCGAACUCACAAGGUGACAACUUAUUUCCAAAAAGCCAAUCCAUGAGCAUUUUUAAUUUGUUGGUAAAACUGAUUUAAGACAUCUCAAUCUUUUUUUUUUUCUUUUUUUCUUCAUCUGCUCUUACAUAUGCCAGCACCCACCUGUCUAUGAGUAGCAUAACUGUACAUUUGCUAAGCCUAAACAAAUAAAGAAACAAACAAAACCCAAAACUUAAAAUAAAGCCAAAUUUUAGUGACAAGAGAAUUAGAUUAAUUCCAUUUUAUUUAAUAAGGUAUUUUGCUAUUCAGUUUGAAGAAGCUUCAUUUCUUCCUUUUUACGUUCGUAGGUGGAAGAAAUGAAAAUGGGUGAAGGAAAUUUUACUUGUGUAUUCCACAUCAUGGGAUAUAUAUAUACUUACACAAUAUUUAACACCAAGAUUCAUGCCUGACAAGUAAACCAGCUACACCUAAUAGUUUUCUUCUUGUAAUGAAGUAUAGAAGACUACUCUUGGCAUAUUAUUGUGCAUGGGCCAGCCUCUUUCCAACUUCUAAUAUUAGUCAUUGCCAAAGAUUUAACUAUUUGGCUAAUAUUGUGGUCUGAACUACUGUGAUAAUACUUUUCCCCAAUAUUUUACACUUUUGUUCCUCUUACUUUUGUCAAGAUUUUCUAUAUAUUUUUCCUUCUACCUUUUUUUUAAAAAAAAUUUAAUAAGAAUAUCUAAUAAAAAUAGGAAAGGAAAUAUUUAUCAACAGGAUGUCAAAAUUACACAAACAGUGAAGUUCCUUGUAUGAAGUGAUACACAUUCUCAAAAUCUUUCUAGGCAUUGAAUAAAUAAACAAACAUGAAGUAGUCAAUAAAUAGCUAUGGAAUAAGACAAGGAUAUUAUUGAUUUUGAAAGAGAGUAAUUAAAUUGUUAUUGAAUAUAUAUUAGAUCUUAUUUUGGUUGAUGUUCAGUAUUAGUACAACCUCAAUAAAAAUACAUGAUGCAUAGUAAUAUUAUGUAUCCAAUUUGUUAUUGCUGGAAAAGGUAAAAAUUUCUAAUUAUUUAAGUAAUUAGUUUCAAAAUUUUCCCCUUGAACACUUCAGUGCUGCUUGUUAACUGAUGUUAUUCAGGCAAUAAUCAUUAGGUAUAAAACCCAGAAGCUAGUAUACACUAUAGCAUGAAAGAGAUUGAAUCAUUAAAAUUAGAUUUCCCCUCCCUCCCAAAGCAAAUCCUGCAAAAAGCUUUAGAAUUUGACCCUUGAAAAACUAUUUACUGCUUAUGUAUCAGAUCAAUUAUGCAAAAUAGAAUUUACAUGGCCAGAAAAUUUUAUUAAAUGUUUCUUCCCUUUCCCCUUCUCGCCUUCCCUCUUUGCCUCCUCUCCCUCUCCUCUUUCUCCCCAUCCUCCUUUUGGUGUUGGAGGCAACACUAAUAGAUUUGUGGAUGGCUUGCUUUCAUGUUUUGAAAGUAAUUAGAUCAUUUUUUGAAAAUUAGUCCUAAUUUGCAUUUAAAUUUGACAGUCAUCAUGAUUAAAACCAGAAUACAGGAAUUGCACCUGUGUUCCUAGUUCUAGUGGCUUUUAACAGUAUCUCACAUUGAACACUCAUUAUGGUAAUUUUGCUAAAUGUGCAGAGUAAACUGAUGUUUCAUACAGCAUGAAGUAUGUGUCCAGAAAGAAAAACUUCAGUUUUAAUUAAAAAUUUUCUCAUUGGUUUUGGACAGUCUGACUGACAUAAACAUGAUUUGCUUUUAUUUUUAGAACUUAUGUUAAACCAUAUCCUUCCACCAUGCUGGAGCACAGAGAGGAGCAUAACUUAAAAUACAGUUUAAUUUAACAAUUUCCAGAAUAACUGUGGGUUUUUUUCUGUGUUUUUCUAUCCUUUUAGUAGUUACAAACUUUCCUGUUUAAAAUUGAAAUGUCCCAAUCCACAUAAAUUUCAACGUGCCUUUUUAAUCUAAUUUUAUUGAUAAUAAUAAUUUCAUUCCUGCUCCAGAUUCUCCUCACUUCAUUUCUUCAUUUCAUAGUUAUUUUUUUUCAGGAAAAUAAGAACAAUUGGAGCAAUGGAGCUUUAACUACUCUUCAUUUUUGCUUCAAAUCUCCUGUGGCAUUGCCUUUCUUUCUCCUAAUAUUUAUAAGCAGAAGUCUAUUUGUGCAAUCAUUUGGUCCUUGACAUCAAAAUAGUACUGGAUGUCUUCUAACUAUAAACAGAAAAAAAAAAAGUUUUAAAUGUUUUAAACAUUUGUCAGUCUUUAAAGAAGAGUUUUAUUUUUUAUACUUAUGUUAAAGAUUGAAAUCUAUUAGUUGAAUCAUUAAUUAAAAUAAUAACAAUAUGGGGUAAACAAUUCCAGUUUGUCAUGGAGACAGCCCAAAACGACUCCAAGUAAAUUAUAAGCUUAAAUCAACUUUAAUUUUGCAACUGAAACCAAAAUCAAAUGGCAACCUGAAACCAGUGAGAACCAGGGGACAGGGAGGGAGUGAUCCAGAAUCAAUCAAUACUCUGAUAACAUUUAACAAACUGCAUGUUAAAUAUAUCAAUCAGGGAUAGUAUUACUACACAAAAACCAUAAAAAUUAUGAUUCAAAGCAUGCUUGCACUCACUUCAAAAAGGCCUCUAAGACUCAAGGAUAUACAGAAAAUGUAAUUGCUUGCCUAUGGGUUGGGAUCCAAGGGACAACUCAAGGAUAGAAAUAAUCACUCAUCAAGGAGAAGGUGAAGACACUCAAUCCCAGCAAGUCUCUGGGAAGACCACUCAAAGGUGGUCUUUGGUGAGGGCCUCAUUUACAGCUUGGUUGGACCUGAGCUGUGGUCAUAUAUGGGCAUGGUCCAGAAGCUUCUCUGGGCCUGGGGCACCUUGUUGGAUGACAACCCUGUCUGUUCCACUCCUCCUGCUCCCUCAAUGAUCUCAAUGAUCCUUUUUAGUCCCUUCCAACUCAGGACAUUCUAUGAUUAUAAGGUGCAUACAUGGCAACAGCUGUGGUAGGGCAGAAGAGGCACCAAAGUAAGGCACGGAAGAGCCAGCAGCUGCUGUGUUGAAAGUCUUGGACCUUAUCAGGGUAUGUGCAACUGCCACACAACUAAUCAGAACAAACCUCUUUGUUUUGUUUAUUUCCUGAUAAUAAUGAAUGCUUUAAUAUCUGAAAGCACGUUAAUUAUACCUCUGAUUAACCAGAGCAAUUUGUUAUCACAGCAUUUUUAUAGUUUCAUACAUUUCACAAGAAGCUACAGUGUACAGUUUGUGUAGAUGAGAUAAAAAUUCCACAGUAACAUUUCCCUGUUGAAAAUGGUGGUGGUAGAGAUUUUUACAGCCAUUUCCUCUUCACUCCAAAGAAAGGAAAGAAUGACUCGAAAAGAGUAAGACCAUAUUAAAGUGCUCACAUUGUUAAAUGAAGUGGUUAAUAACAGCAAAAGAAACUGUUUCCAGAUGAUUUCAGAUGACAAGCUCAGUGAGCAUAAGUGGAAAUGAAAAAAAAACCAAAACCAACAAUGCAGAGUAGACGUUAAAAAGUACCUUUUCACCUGUAGAAUAGUAAACUCACAGAACUGUGUAGCAGACAAGGAUGCUGACUUAGAAAUAUGAGGAUCGGUCAAGGAAUAAUUAGAAUAGCUCCAGGGAAUGAAGUUUAAAGAGGUGCUUUUAUACAGGCUCACAACUUUCCUGCUCUGCCCUCCCUGAUUUUUUCUGUUUUUAUUGCAUUGCCUUCACCCCACUGUUUUCAAUAUUGCCAACAUUUGUGAUUUAAACAUGUAAAUUCAUUUAUGGAUGGAUUUUGUUCUUGGUUAAAAUAAAUAAAUAAAUAAAUAAAUAAAUACAGUAUAUACACAAGAAAAAAAACAUGCAGUGGAAUGAGUACUCUUAUGCAGAAACCAGGAAAACAUCUUCACAGAUUUGAUGAGUAUGAAAACUUCUCUAAUGUGAUAUUUAGUCUGAUAAAUUAUUAGAAUAUUUUAAAAUUAGAAUUUCCUGUUGAGAAUAUGAUACCUAUCAUGGAUUUAACAAUCAUAUAAAGAGGUCUUAAAAGUCUGAAUAAUUGAAGUAUUUUAUUUGCUAUAUAUUCUGUCUGGCAUAUAUGUUGAUAACUUCUAAUAAAAUCAAGUAAAGACUUAAAUUAAAAAAGUAAUUUAAAAAAAGAUUCAGUAGCUAGUAUCCUAUUGAAUAUGGUCAGAUUUAGAUGCAUUAGUGUUGAACACCUUUCUUAGAUUUUCCUAUGAUAUAGUCACAAAUGGCUUGAUACUUCAGGAAAAAAGAAAAUUUAAAUAUGUUGCAGUCUGAAGUUGAAAGAACUUGAAUCUCUGUUUGCUUUUCAAAUUCCAACUCAUAUUUUCCAUUAUUUUUUUUUUCCUCCCCCCAUUCUAAUCCAUUAAUACCAUUCUCAAAUUAAUAUAAUGAUGGUGGAAUUACCCUAAAAAUUUAACUGAGGAUUUCAUUUGGAACAACAUGGAAUAGGAAACUUUGAAGAUAUAACAGAAAGUGAUGGUCACUGAGAUAUUAUUUUUAGUUUUAGAAGUGGCUUUGACCAGUACUUGCGUUAGAGCUCGUACAUAACUAAAUUCCCUAUACUUAGGAAAUUUGUACUGAAAAAAAAAAAAAGUAAACAACUAAACAAGCAUGUGUUCAGAACUAAGUUGUGUCUAAGUGCAACAGACUAUUAAAAAUAUUUGGACUCAGCUGCCUAAACAGGGGCAACUAGUCUCAUUUUAGACACGUAAGCAUAUUUCACCCCUAAAAUUUUCAUCAUUUAAUUAUUUGAUUUACACUGAAUGCAUGAUCAGUUUGUCUCUAAUAAAGGUAGAAAAAAUCCACGAGAUGAUGUAACUUAAUUUAAUUACAGACAAAAUUAAGGAUAUUUUUGUCAACCACUAAGUUGUUUGUUUUUUUUUUUUUAAUUUGAAUUUCAUGCCAUGUAGUUGAAGAAUAUUGUCCUAGCAAUUUUAGCUGUUUGCAAAAUACUUAAAUUCAGUAAAUAAAUCUAGAUAUUUUCUAUAGAGAAUUAUUUAUUACUGAUAGUUUAAAUAUAUGUGCAUUUGUGCUAAGUAAUUAGUAUUACAUAUAUUUGCUACUUAAGGAGGAUCAAGUUUACACAGUACCAAGAGAAGAGCAGAAAGCUGCUGGCCCAGGUAAAAAGUCCUUCUGAUGAGCUUCUUUAUUUGUUCAUUUAUUCAUGUUUUUGUUCUGUUUUAGCUUCUGCAUACAUUAUUAGUCUUUCAUAUUUUGCCAACACACUGGCAGUUCUGUGAGUCUAUCCUUCCACCCCUGGUAUAUCAUAAAGUUCACCUCGUAAGGAUAUAUGACUGAUCACCCUUGGAUGAUCAUCACCAAGUAAAGAGAAGUGCUAAUUCUAACUUACCACAUGGGAAACAAAAGACACAUUGCCCCGACAAAAGACAAAAUAGUCUAUGUCCAGUGAAAGCUUCCUAAUGAAGAUGGUGCUGACUCUGGGGAUAGAGAAGCUGCAGAAAUACUCCUGCAUAACAACAAGGAUGAUAUUCUACUGUUUAUGUGAGAGUAUGGCACUGGCUCAGAUACUGGGCUGAGAGGUUGUGCCAAUGCCUCUUCCAGCAUUCAGUCACAGUCUCACGGUUUUACUAAUUCACAGUGACUGUUUGUAACUCAACCAUAUACAUUCACUGAAAAGUCUCAAAUAUGUUCUGGCAAGAUUACAUAGAUUCAACAGCACUAUUUGUUGCCCAACAGCCUGAAGAAGGUAUUGUCAUUUCUGUGAUUUUGUGAGUUCUAUUUGACCUUUUACCACAUAUUUUGCUUCUUUCUAGAAUUUGCAUUCAUGCAUUCAGACAAUCAGAAAUAGGAACGGGAAACUGCAUGAUUCUGUAUAAUGAUGUUUUAAACUGCACUUUAUAUAUAUAUAUUUUUUUUAACCAUUUAAAAGGGUUUAUGGAGUAGCAUGUGCUAUGAUUCUGAUUCUGUAAAGACUUAAAUCCUUAUUUCUCUCUCUUGUUUAAGUACUUCAGACUAUACACAUAGGCAAAGCUAAACAUGAACAUGUGUGGGUUUUGGAACAUUUAACAUUUUAAUAUCUCUACCGUGCAGGUUGCGCAUCGACAAAUCAGUGUAAAUUAUAGAGAGAAAAGGAGAAAAAAGUGUGUCUUGCAAUUCGUGUUUAAAAAACUUAAAAGAAAGCAGUUCCUGUUCCCUAUGGAAAUCAGACACCUGAGGACCACUGCAUAAUGAAACGCUUCAUCUUAUUGGUUCUAAUGCAACACCCCCAGUUUCAUUAGUAUUUCUGUACUGCAAACAAUAAACAAACAAUCCUCAAACAUCCUCUUCAGGAUACUCGCAAUUUAAAAACUUUGAUCAUCUUUCCAGUCAGUUGUCUCUUUUCCAGGAUGAAGAGACAUAAUCUAUUAAUUGGUCGUUGAGUGGAAAUAAUCCGGUAUCAUUCAAUCCCGUCAGUGACUUUUCCUGCCCUCUCUGACUGUUAAAUCCUACUGUUUUUCUUGUUUUUCUCAUUUCCUAUUAAUUAUCUGUGACCUGCUUUUUUUUUUUUUUUUAAGCUAUCUUUGAAUAUCAGUUUAGACUGUUUUUCAGAAUAUUUGUUGUAAACUUUUCAAAAAGAAUUAUUUGUAUGUCCAGAAUAAAUUACACAAAACCAGAUUAUGACUUUGACCUUGUGGUAGAUGUUGUGAGAGAAUUAAUUCUAAUGAAUAGUCUUGACAUUUUAAAGUUCAAAAAACUGAUACUUAGAAUAGAAAAUUAAAGAAAAUUAACAAAUAUGUAAAGUUAUGAGCAUGAAUAUUAAUACCACCUAUAUAAGCUCAUAUCAGUUUAAAGAUAAUCACUUGGAAAUUUAACAACUUUAAAAUGAAAAAAAAUAAAUUGUUUAU